CCCCUCUCAGAAUCACACCUGGAAAGUUUCCAGUAUUCUACCAAUCGCGGCUAUGGGAGGGAUAGUCAAGCAGAGGCCUACCCAUUCUAUUCCUAGCUUGGCCAGUGGCUAGAGAGUGGAAGGCAAUCUGCUGCAAGU
rnacentral:snoRNA from 1 species